UACAGAGGGUGCGAGCGUUGUCCGGAAUCACUGGGCGUAAAGGACGCGUAGGCGGUCUGGUAAGCGUGUGGUGAAAGCUCGGGGCUCAACCCCGAGUCGGCCGUGCGAACUGCGAGACUGGAGCAGAUCAGAGGCAGGCGGAAUUCCGGGUGUAGCGGUGGAAUGCGUAGAGAUCCGGAAGAACACCGGUGGCGAAGGCGGCCUGCUGGGAUCUUGCUGACGCUGAGGCGCGACAGCGUGGGGAGCAAACAGG
rnacentral:rRNA from 1 species